rnacentral:sRNA from 1 species
GAAGGUGUGGCUGCCCCGCCCCUACUCCGCAUUUGGAGCUGCCUAAAUCCUGAUUUUAAAAAGAAACCACCAGAAACCCAGAAGGUGGGGGUGGGGGCUCUCAAGGGCUUAGACCCAACUCCCUGUCCCUGAAUUCCGGCUUCCAUCAGGCCCUACUCAGACUGUGUCUUCUACACAGUACCGCUGGGUGGAGCAGCACUUGGGGCCCCAGUUCGUAGAACGAAUUAUCCUGACAAGGGACAAGACGGUGGUCUUGGGGGACCUGCUCAUUGACGACAAGGACACAAUUCGAGGCCAGGAGGAGACCCCAAGCUGGGAGCACAUCUUGUUCACCUGCUGCCACAAUCGGCACCUGGUCCUGCCCCCGACAAGGAGACGGCUGCUCUCCUGGAGUGACAACUGGAGGGAGAUCUUAGACAGCAAGCGAGGAGCUGCGCAGCGGGAAUGAGCGGGGAUGCGGCGGGCAGCAGCUGGAGCUGAAGGAACGACAGCCCCACAGG